rnacentral:lncRNA from 1 species
GAUGGGCUCUGAUUUACAGUGAGGGAGAUCUUAUCCCAGCUUGAUGUCAUUAGGACUCAGCUUUAGUCUUGGCCCUCCGCAUCCAGUGAGCCAGCCUUUAUCCAGUCCAUUGCUUUCUGUCCUUCGAUAUCUUCCUGUCAGAUCAAACCCUUCGAUCGAGGAUGAGGCUAAUCAUCUUUUACCUAUCUUGAGCUCGUUGCACAU